AACGAACGCUGGCGGCAGGCCUAACACAUGCAAGUCGAGCGAGAUCUUCGGGUCUAGCGGCGGACGGGUGAGUAACGCGUGGGAAUAUGCCUCUUGGUACGGAAUAGCCUCGGGAAACUGGGAGUAAUACCGUAUGUGCCCUUUGGGGGAAAGAUUUAUCGCCAAGGGAUUAGCCCGCGUUGGAUUAGGUAGUUGGUGGGGUAAUGGCCUACCAAGCCGACGAUCCAUAGCUGGGUUGAGAGGAUGAUCAGCCACACUGGGACUGAGACACGGCCCAGACUCCUACGGGAGGCAGCAGUGGGGAAUCUUAGACAAUGGGGGCAACCCUGAUCUAGCCAUGCCGCGUGAGUGAUGAAGGCCUUAGGGUUGUAAAGCUCUUUAAGCUGGGAAGAUAAUGACGGUACCAGCAGAAGAAGCCCCGGCUAACUCCGUG
rnacentral:rRNA from 1 species